rnacentral:rRNA from 1 species
UACGUAGGGUGCAAGCGUUAAUCGGAAUUACUGGGCGUAAAGCGUGCGCAGGCGGCGCGUUAAGACAGGUGUGAAAGCCCCGAGCUUAACUUGGGAAUUGCGCUUGUGACUGGCGUGCUGGAGUGUGGCAGAGGGAGGUGGAAUUCCACGUGUAGCAGUGAAAUGCGUAGAGAUGUGGAGGAACACCGAUGGCGGAAGGCAGCCUCCG